rnacentral:rRNA from 2 species
UUUUGGCUCAGGACGAACGCUGGCGGCGUGCCUAAUACAUGCAAGUCGAGCGAACUGAUUAGAAGCUUGCUUCUAUGACGUUAGCGGCGGACGGGUGAGUAACACGUGGGCAACCUGCCUGUAAGACUGGGAUAACUUCGGGAAACCGAAGCUAAUACCGGAUAGGAUCUUCUCCUUCAUGGGAGAUGAUUGAAAGAUGGUUUCGGCUAUCACUUACAGAUGGGCCCGCGGUGCAUUAGCUAGUUGGUGAGGUAACGGCUCACCAAGGCAACGAUGCAUAGCCGACCUGAGAGGGUGAUCGGCCACACUGGGACUGAGACACGGCCCAGACUCCUACGGGAGGCAGCAGUAGGA